GGAAAUGUAUGCUCAGUGGAUAGAGUACAUGCUUAGCAUGCACAAGGUCCUGGGUGCAAUCCCCAGUACCUCCA
rnacentral:tRNA from 1 species